rnacentral:piRNA from 1 species
UGAGAAGCUGGUCGUUGUAAUGGU